rnacentral:rRNA from 1 species
UACGGGGGGGGCAAGCGUUGUUCGGAAUUACUGGGCGUAAAGGGCGCGUAGGCGGCGACUCUAGUCAGAUGUGAAAGUCCUGGGCUUAACCUGGGGACUGCAUUUGAUACUGGGUUGCUUGAAUUCGGGAGAGGAUAGCGGAAUUCCCAGUGUAGAGGUGAAAUUCGUAGAUAUUGGGAAGAACACCGGUGGCGAAGGCGGCUAUCUGGACCGACAUUGACGCUGAGGCGCGAAAGCGUGGGGAGCAAACAGG